rnacentral:rRNA from 2 species
GCAUGACUUUUGGCAACGGAUAUCUUGGCUCUUGCAUCGAUGAAGAAUGUAGUGAAAUGUGAUACUUAGUGUGAAUUGCAGAAUCUUGUGAACCAUCGAGUUUUUGAAUGCAAGUAGCGCUCGAGGCUAUAUGGCUAAGGGCAUACCUGCCUGGGCAUCAUGU